GGGGAAUUUUGGACAAUGGGCGCAAGCCUGAUCCAGCCAUGCCGCGUGUCUGAAGAAGGCCCUCGGGUUGUAAAGGACUUUUGUCAGGGAAGAAAAGGCUGUUGCUAAUAUCAGCGGCUGAUGACGGUACCUGAAGAAUAAGCACCGGCUAACUACGUGCCAGCAGCCGCGGUAAUACGUAGGGUGCGAGCGUUAAUCGGAAUUACUGGGCGUAAAGCGGGCGCAGACGGUUACUUAAGCAGGAUGUGAAAUCCCCGGGCUCAACCCGGGAACUGCGUUCUGAACUGGGUGACUCGAGUGUGUCAGAGGGAGGUAGAAUUCCACGUGUAGCAGUGAAAUGCGUAGAGAUGUGGAGGAAUACCGAUGGCGAAGGCAGCCUCCUGGGAUAACACUGACGUUCAUGCCCGAAAGCGUGGGUAGCAAACAGGAUUAGAUACCCUGGUAGUCCACGCCCUAAACGAUGUCAAUUAGCUGUUGGGCAACUUGAUUGCUUAGUAGCGUAGCUAACGCGUGAAAUUGACCGCCUGGGGAGUACGGUCGCAAGAUUA
rnacentral:rRNA from 1 species